ACUCCUACGGGAGGCAGCAGUGGGGAAUAUUGGACAAUGGGCGAAAGACCUGAUCCAGCCAUGCCGCGUGUGUGAAGAAGGUCUUCGGAUUGUAAAGCACUUUAAGUUGGGAGGAAGGGCGAGUAAGUUAAUACCUUGCUGUUUUGUACGUUACCGACAGAAUAAGCACCGGCUAACUCUGUGCCAGCAGCCGCGGUAAUGCAGAGGGUGCAAGCGUUAAUCGGAAUUACUGGGCGUAAAGCGCGCGUAGGUGGUUUGUUAAGUUGGAUGUGAAAGCCCCGGGGCUCAACCUGGGGAACUGCAUCCAAAACUGGCAAGCUAGAGUACGGUAGAGGGUGGUGGAAUUUCCUGUGUAGCGGUGAAAUGCGUAGAUAUAGGAAGGAACACCAGUGGCGAAGGCGACCACCUGGACUGAUACUGACACUGAGGUGCGAAAGCGUGGGGAGCAAACA
rnacentral:rRNA from 1 species